rnacentral:rRNA from 1 species
GACGAACGCUGGCGGCGUGCCUAAUACAUGCAAGUUGAGCGAUGAAGAUUGGUGCUUGCACCAAUUUGAAGAGCAGCGAACGGGUGAGUAACGCGUGGGGAAUCUGCCUUUGAGCGGGGGACAACAUUUGGAAACGAAUGCUAAUACCGCAUAACAACUUUAAACAUAAGUUUUAAGUUUGAAAGAUGCAAUUGCAUCACUCAAAGAUGAUCCCGCGUUGUAUUAGCUAGUUGGUGAGGUAAAGGCUCACCAAGGCGAUGAUACAUAGCCGACCUGAGAGGGUGAUCGGCCACAUUGGGACUGGGACACGGCCCAAACUCCUACGGGAGGCAGCAGUAGGGAAACUUCGGCAAUGGACGAAAGUCUGAACGAGCAACGCCGCGUGAGGGAAGAAGGUUUUCGGAUCGUAAAACUCUGUUGGUAGAGAAGAACGUUGGUGAGAGUGGAAAGCUCAUCAAGUGACGGUAACUACCCAGAAAGGGACGGCUAACUACGUG